UUGCAUUUAUCGACCUUUCUUCCUAACGGAAGAAGAGCAGCGGCAGCAACGACCUGUACAGACGCGAAGUGGUGGGGGCAGCAGCGAGGGCACCUCCGGCUCGCCUUCCUCACCGCCGUCCCGCUAUACAAACUCCGAUCCACCGCUGCGGCCUCUACUCCUCCGCCGAGUCCCCCCAGUUCCAGCCUCUUCUCCUCCUUCCUCCCAGCUUGGUCUCUAAGGUCGAUGUCCACGGAUCGCGCUCGGCCGCCGCGCCGCUUCGCUCUGCUAUGCCCAUCGGCCGCAGCCGCAGCCGCACCUCCACUGCCGACCGACGUAGCUCUCUGCGGUCGUUGCUGGCACCAGCCUUCCUCGUCCGCCGAUGGACAGCGCGCGGGGGGCCGAGGAGAAGAGGCGUGAGUGAGGGAGACAAGGAGGUCGCGUGCGAGGUGUUAGGAAUUAAUUAAUUAGGUUAAUUAACUAUUAAUCACUGCUAUGUCGGUGCCACUUUUGGCAACUGCCUCCUUUUGUAACCGCCUUGUAAACUGGGUAUAAAUACCCCAAUCUUCAAUCAAUAGAAUAACGGUUCAUUCAUAUAUCUGUUUUCCAUUCGCUCCUCUCUCUCGAUUCUCUCCAACACGUUAUCACGCACGCCUCUUCCAGAGAGCAAUUAGGCCAAGAACUCGACGGCUCCACCGUCCCUGACCCUCCCUCCGGCCCCAAGGACACGAGGACCCUCGGCCUCGACAGCGCUCCAGCGGCGCAGCACCAGCGCGCGAUGCAGGCGGCUGAGGCACCCCAUGGUUGACGACGCCCUCCUCUGUAGGCGCGUCGAAGCGGCGCCCUCCGGCGCUUCAAUCCGCCACAUGACUGCCGACGACAGCGGCGGCAAACGGCAAGGCCUCUCUAUGGCCAGAGGAGGCCACUCCGGCGAUCUGCAAUUGCCGCAGACGAUGACUGGAGAAGUCUGGAGAAGUUGGCUACUAGAAUUUCGGCCACCACGCGAUUCACGGCGAAGACGAGAUGUUCCUCGUACAAAAAGGAAAGAAACUAAUAGGGAGAUUGAUUGAUUGAUCUUGUCUUCUUGCAAUCAUCAAUUAAUAAUCUAACAAUGAAUUGUUUUUCUCCUGUAUGUAUAUGCGCUCACACGAAUCUCACGAAGAAUUGAUCAAUCGUGAACUACAAAGAAAGAAGAACCGAUGGAAGAACGCAGCGCCAGCCUCCAUCGAUUCAAGAAUUGGAAGCCUCGAACACACUCUGCCAAAGGACAGAAAAUCAAUCAAUUGAGCGGAUUUAUCAUACUCCAAGCAGGAACAUCAGAACUUGAAAUUGGGCACAAUUUUCAAUUACACAAGGAAGACGCACAGAAAAGGAUAUGGGCGUUGGCAUCCAGGAUCACUCGAUCGAAAAUCCAUACCAAUAACUGUAAGCAUCCAUGUGAUUUCUUCAAUUUGUGAUGUUCUUACCUCUUAAAUGAGAUCGGCCGCGGAUCAGCGGACUCGAUUCCGGACGGAGGAAGGUCUAAGCGGCGGCCGCUCGUCCACUCUCCUCCUCCCUUUUCCCCCUGGAUGCGAUGGUUGAGGCCGCACCCGCGGCCUCCAUCGGCACGGCCGUCUACAGCGGCGACAACCACAUCCCGGCAGCAAUGCUCCUCCCUCCGGAGGAGCACCACGGCCCGCCACGCAGCCCGACAACAGAGACGGCCAACGCGCAUGCGGAGCGCAGUUCUCUCCGCCACACCUUGGCACGGCGGCGGCCUUCGGCUCCGACGCCGCUUCUCCUGAUGCGGCGCGAUGGCGCGGCGGCCAACAUCCGUCCCACGGCGUGGAGAUGCUGCCCAGGCGCAGACGACCUUCGAUUGGCGACGCCAUCUUCCCUCCUAAUUCCUCACGAGGAGAUGUGCUAUGACUCUGUACAGCCAAAGCUAACUCAAUCGAUGGAUUCUUGGCCGUAGCGAGAAUCACCGGAGAACCUUAUCUCUUCGGCCAUUUAACAAUUUGCAUUUUUUUAUUGCCAAAUAAGGACAUCAGCUUUAGUACUACUUGCAUAGAAGCCCUCAGGCUAAUUGUGAUCGUAUCACUCAGACUCUCUGGUCUUCAUAUUGUGCAUCAUAUUUUAAAAAAUGAAUUCUACAUGUAUUAUGAGCAUAGUAGUAUUGUUCAAGUGUUCAUACCUUGAAUUUCCAAGACGACAUUGUGCCAUAUUAUACAUGUUUGCCUCAGCAUUCAUUGUAAAUAUUAGUUUUAGAACAACAUUUUUCUGUCUUUUGCAAUUGGAAUUAAUUUUUCUUGCAAAUCUUGACGAAAUCCAAAAUAAGGAUUUUGAAGUGUCAUACUUAAGAUGACCACAUCAUAUUUUAUUUGUGAAUCACAAGGUAUUGAUGGCAUCUACUGCAGAAUUUGCAGAUUAUCUAUCACUACUGUGAGGUCUACAUCUUGUUAUUUUGAUAAGAUGACUACCUUCAAGUGCUCUUCCAAAUAUUAAUGUGACUAUUCCAAAUUUAAUUUGUGAAUCACAAGGUAUUGGUGGUAUCUACUGCACUAUUUGCAGAUUAUCAACCACUACUGUGAGGUCUACAUCUUGUCAUUUUAACAAGAUUAUUACCUUCAAAGUGCUCUUCCAAAUAUUAAUAUUAUAUGUGACUACCUCAAGAUAUCAUAAGGUAAUACUGGCAUCUACUGCAAAUUUUGCAGACUAUCCAUUAUUACUGCAAGGUCUACAUCAUGUCACUUUGACAGAUGACUACCUUCAAAGUGAUUUCACACAUUUUACAUAACAUAAGGUAAUAGAAUUAUGAACAUCUACUGACAAAAGUCAGACUAUGUUUCCUAUUACUGCGAGAUCUACACCGCAUCCGGUGACUAUCUUCAAAGUGUUAUUCUAUAUAAAUGGAGGUCUACACAUAUGAGUGUAUAGCAUCAGCUAUCAUAAAAAAAAAAUUUGCUCCUCUGAAGCAAUUGUUGUUGUUCACUAAAAAAAAGAUAUUUACUCUCAUAAUAAAAGGUAUUCAUGCAUGAACACUACAUUCUGAAACGGCAAAUAUUUUCCACAAAUAUCAUUUAUUCAAGCCUCAUUUUGCUUUAAUAUGUCAUAGACAACUAUGCAAAUAUUUGCACAUACCAGUAAUUACCUUCUAUUACAUUGGUAAAAUACAUGGCAGUGGAGCCUAUGUCACUAUUUUAAUUAUAGUGUCGUCCAUUCAUUAAAAUGGAUACCACAAUUUAUAGAAAUUGUUGAGUGUCUCAAACACUAUUGAUAGGUCCACAUCAAAUUGUGGUUAUACUUUUAUAGUGACUAACCAAUGAUAAACAUGAAAAGUCUAUGUGUUUUGGCAGUGACUCUGAAGUCACAUAUUUUCUCAAGAAUGAAGUCCAAAACAUUAGCAAUGAUUUCAUCACAUCUGUUGUAUUGAAGGAUACACCCAGGUUCACCAUGGAUCAUCUUGGCCAUGAGUAUUUUCAUGUAACACAUGCCUGACAUUUCCAAAUGCACUAAAUUCAAGAUUAGGUGGGAGUAUUUAUUUUAAGAUGAUUCAUGACAUCAGUCAUUGUGUCCACCCGUGGCCUAUUGCCACUACAACUCCACCUUCUGCAAUGGCUAUUCUCUUGAUAGCUAAGUAUAUACAUGUUGCAUUUUAUAUGUCAUCAACUUCACUUAGUUCUCAAACUAAGUAAUUAUGGAUGAAUAUUUAUUCACUACAAUUUUUCCCUUGAGAGAAACAUGCUGCCAUGAGCACAACACGAUUGAUCACCCAUUUGAUUUCAAAACAUCAAGUCUAUUGCAUCUCACAAUUCUGUCACUUUAAUCAACUUUAAGUUGAGAUCUCGUGAUCAAAUAUUUUCCUAUAUACAGAUCCAGUUGAAAAGCCCUUAAUGCACUUUACACCCUCUUAAGAUGGUACUACCUUUUUUUUAUGAUCAAGAAACAUGGAAUUUCUUAAAAUCAUCAGAUUCACCCAAUGGGUGUUAUACCAUAAUUUAAAAUUCAUGCUAGUAUCGAGAAUAGUAUGCAAGUUAGUUGUCACAAAAUAGAACUAUGAGGAAUUCGAAGUAAAGUGGAGGCUAAUAGACAACCAAAGACGGAAUUAUCUCUUAAUAAGAAUCGGUCAUUUUCAAGUGAUCAAAAGACAACUCUCAAGUUUAUCAGAUGCGUGGUUAUGUAAAUAUUGUACCUAUGAUUACCAAACCCUCAAACAUAUGGUCGAACCACAUCACAAAUUUAUUAAAAGGCAAAUAAGUUCAAUAGGAUAAAUUUGAAAAUUUGCAAAUAAUAACCAGAUUCUGGUAAAGAAUUGUUCUCAGAAUCUUCAUCAGAAGGAGGACCAAAAUCUAGUGCAGAAAAUGGAGGAUGAACUCAUUUGCACUCAAUAAUAUCGGAGACCUUAGGUAAUCUCCUAAUUAUUCCCAAAAAUAGCAUUAACCUGUACUUGUACUACUACAUGUAGUAGGAUAUUCAAUAUCCCAUCACUUGGAUACAAUAUUUAAUAUAUUUGAUAGCAUGGUUAAAGUCAUACUUAGUAUUGUUGCGUACGAAAUAAUUUUCUAAAUAUUAAUAAAUUAAAUGUCUAUUUUGAUAGACUUAUCCAUCCUGGUUUGGGGAUGAUUAGAAAAUUAUUGACAAUUCUGUUGGUCACAACUUAACAAGUUGCAAAAUAUCCCAAAUCAUCAGAUUUUAUGCGCACUACAUGUGCCAUAGGGGAAAUCAGUUUUAAGGCACUCUCACCUUAAAAUUCUAAAUGAGCCACUCAAUCUUCCUUGAAUACAUUAAGAAGACAUAUGUGGAUUAGUUAACCAUUAUGUGGAAUUAUUUAGAUACUUCAUGGUACUCAUAGGAACAUUUAUAAAAUGAUUUCAAGUGUGUCUCUUAUCACACACAAACAUGCAUGAUCUUACUAAAUAAAUUGCUUAACUUAUCAAAGUAGGAGCAAAUUCUCCUGAAAACAGGAUUGAAAAACCCAUUCGAAUGGACAAUGUCAUUGAAAUCAUUUCACAAGCAAUGUCCGAUUAUAUUUUUGUACUCUAUGUACAUACCCAGAAUGGUUUAACUAAAUUUCUUAUCAAAGAUAGUGAAAUGAAUUACAUGACCAAUCUUAAAGAAUUGUAAAUUUACCAGCCUCUUGCUGGACACAUACGGCCUUACACACCGUAAGUAUGAUCUAAAUCAUACCAACUGCAUUUCAUACUACUUUCCCCUUGUAGUAACUACGUGGAAAUCAACAAAGUAUUUCCCAUCUGCGAUAAUUUGGUUACAUACCGAUAUCACCACUCCAGCAUACAUCAAUGGGCACUCACAGAAAAUUGGGGAUCUAUGCGAGGAAUAAUAAUUUAUCCGUCAAUCAAAAUUAUUCAUAGUCCGUACGCUGAUUGCAUCAGCAAUAAGGAUAUUUUCGGCAUUAGGGGGAGAUAAGUACCACAAAGAAUGCCGAAAAAAUAAAUUAGAAAUGUUAUUGACAUUCAAUCCUUAUAUCCACGUCUCAAAGAAUCUGAACUAGAAGUUUAGAGAAUUAUAUAUUUGCAACACAUUGCAAAUCUGCCAAAUACAUUUACUGAUGACAAGGUGUUACUAAAUUAUAUAUUCCUGCAGUAAAGUGUCAGAAGAGUGGAGGUACCUGAUAAACCACUCUUCUCCCCAAAUGAGAGCAAGAGGGGAGAAAAUCUGACAAUACGAGAUAUAACUUCUCAUAUGCUUCCACGGAAACAGAGGAAAUCACAUCCUCAACUAGUAAAUGUAAUUCAACAUCAAGUUGAAAGACACCUCACUGGAUGCUCAUUAUCCAAUGCCCGGCAUAAAGGUGCACAAAUGUUUUGGUGCCGGGACAUCGAAACACCUUGACUCCAUUUGUUGUAGGAAAUCACAAGGAGUUAAAAAGGAGUACAUAUUUUAUCCACAAACUUCAAUGAUUCCAUCAGGAUCAUAUAAACUAAAGACUACAUUUGUCGACAUAUAUUUCUUCUCAAAUUGCUAAAACCUUUUGGGCCCAGAACCAAAAUCCAUGGUAGAGUGCCUCUUGCACUCAUAUUGGUUCACAUAAAAAGGAAGCAAGUAAUGAAGGAUAGCACUCGCUCAACAAAUGAGUGGUAUUUACUGCAGUAAUACCUACUCCUCAUAAGUAUCUUCCAUAUGGAAUACUAAAAACUUCUCAUUCAUAGACAAAGUCAAUGAGGUGGUGAGAAAGCGAGGCUUGUAGCAAAAGGGUUCACGCAUAGAUCCGACAUCGAUCACGAUGUGACAUACCCUUCUGGUAUUAGUGGAAUUAUGUUUCGAUACUAAAUAUCAUAGGCAGUACAAAUAAUACCAUGCAGUUAAUGGAUGCAGUGACUACAUACUCAUAUGGAUCACUCAUUUCGGAUAUCUAUUUUAAAGUUCCUGAAGGGCUUAAAAUUCCGAAUCCAAAGAUAAAUCGUAGCAUGUUUUGUGUAAAACUUCAAAGUCACUCUAUGACUUGAAAUAGUCGGAAAUCAUAUGGUACUACCGACUAAAUGAGUUCCUUCUUCAAAGGGAUUACUCAAAGAAUGAUGAUUACUUCUGUGUUAAUAAGGAAAUCCAAAAUUUGUUUUCCUUAUAUCACUUAGUGUAUAUCGAUGACUUCAUCAUCAAUGCCUAUACAAGACCUAAACAUAUACAAAAUCAUCUCAAGGCGGAAAAUUUGGAUUAAACCAAAUUUAGCUUAAGUUUACAACUUGAGCAUUCUCUCAAGAAUACAUAUCAGUCUACAUAUAUCCAAAACAUAUUUGAGAAGUUCAAUGUGGAUAUAUCACACCAACAAAACGUAUAUGGUCGAUAUGAGGAAUAUUAACUUAUAUCUCAAGUUCAUAAUAAAUCUUGAACAAUUCCAUCAGGAAAAUCAAGAUUUGACCAUGAUAUUGGCUCUUUACUUGAUCCCAACAAAGCCAUAUCAAUGACUGAAUUUGAUGGAAUAGCCUUCUUAUGGAAUUUAAUGGCUACUUCCCCUUAUCAUUCUGACAUAAUUACUUUAUCUAAAGGCAUUGAAAAUAUGGUUGGCUUAGCAGAAUGAUUAACCACACUCAAAACCAUGUGGUUGAGAUUCAUCAGAGUAACAUAACUUGAUUUAUCAAGAUGCUACCACUUGUAUUACUCAAUACAUACAGGUUAUAUGAAGAGCAAUAUCACAAAGCACAUUGCUCGAGAUCACUUAUCCUCAUGAAUUAUAGAAAAGUGAUGAAAUAGUUUGCAAACAAAAUAUUGGAAAAACCGACAUAUUAUUCAUAAUGUCACGAUCAUGUCAAUGUAAUUGAUAUGAGACAUCCUCCAGAUUUGCAAAGUUCAGGGGGAGUAAUCUCCCAAAGUAUAACCUGUUAACAAACAUCAGAUUACAUAUAUUGUACUCUUUUUCCCUUCACGAGUUUUUCCCUAAUGGUUUCUCAUAAAAGGUUUUUAAUGAGACAAUAUAGAUACAAGUGUUCAUAUAUGUCAUAUCAUUUUCUCCUUAUAUUUUUCCCAUUGGGUUUUAAAGGAGUUUUCGAUGGCAUAUAUAAUCGCACUCUUUUCCUUUAUGAGUUUUCUCUUAAAGUUUCUCAUAACGGUUUUUAACAAGGCAUGUCAUACUUUGUUUUUUCCCUAUCGGGGUUUUUAAAGAAAGUACUCAAGACAUAUUAAUUGUUCUCUAAACUCAUCGAUGAUUUUUCUCCUUCUUCAAAGGUUUUUAUCAUAUGAGUUAUCAAGAGACAAUAAUCAUUAUAUGUUGCAUCAUUUUCUCCUUAUUAUUUUUCCCACUGGGUUUAAAGGAGUUUUAGCAACAUAUCUGCACUAUUCUCCUCAUAUUUUUCCCACGGGGUUUUUGGAGGAGACUUUCAAAAUGAAGAUGAUGAACGUUCAAGGCAAAUACAUACUAGGAGGAGUCUAUCAAGAUGAUGUAUAUUCACAAAGACAAGCAUUGAUUAGGGGGAGUGUUAGGAAUUAAUUAAUUAGGUUAAUUAACUAUUAAUCACUGCUAUGUCGGUGCCACUUUUGGCAACUGCCUCCUUUUGUAACCGCCUUGUAAACUGGGUAUAAAUACCCCAAUCUUCAAUCAAUAGAAUAACGGUUCAUUCAUAUAUCUGUUUUCCAUUCGCUCCUCUCUCUCGAUUCUCUCCAACACGAGGAAGGGGAAAGGGGAUUGCG
rnacentral:lncRNA from 1 species